AUGGUCAUCGGUUCGACUCCGAUA
rnacentral:tRNA from 1 species